UUUCAUUGUUUAAAUCUUAAUAGCUUGAUCGAACUGGAAUUGAACCUAGUCCAAUUGAUUGUUUCAAAAAGUUCCAUGUAAGUAAGCCUAAGAAUGGAGAAGAAGAAAGUUGGCCAAGUGAAAAGGCUAAAGAACUUUUUGUACGUUGCCCUUACUUUGUUUCUCUUUUUUUAAUUUUUUUUUAUUCACGACAUAUUUUUAUAUCCAUGUUUAUAUUUCUACUAUUUCAUUGAAGGAAAAAUUGGAGAAUAAAAAGGUUGCUGCAACGGAAGACGAGAAUGAAGUAUUUGAUUGGGAUAUAUACAAGGAGGUUAUUGGUGGGCCAAGUCACGGUUGUAUUCUUAGCUUAGGUGGUGGCUAUAGUACAAAAGAUGUGUAUCCCUCAGAUGACUAAGAUUGUAAUAAACGUAUAUGCUUAGAACAGUAUCUAUUUAAAAGGGUGGCGUGAGUUUAUCGUCCAUGCCUUUACUUUUAUUUAAAUGUAUGGAACAGAAUUAGUGCCCAUACAAGCACGUUUACUUUAUCGCACAUUUACUUUUACUUAAAGUAUGAUGUGGAAUUAACCCUCAUACUUUAUGAAUUUACUUUACCGCACAUUUAAUUU
rnacentral:lncRNA from 1 species